GCGGUUAACUGGCAGAACCGGAUUCUCCGGGUGUGAAGUAAGCAAUUUGUUCUUCUCAGCAAAAGGACAACUUUAUCUCUAACUUAUUUGGCUUUCAAUUAAGUUAAUGAUACGAAAAUGUACAGAAAUCGCCUGUGAACUAUAAGAUAGAGACAAAUCAUUUGAUCAAAACGUUACAGAUGACAGGUUUUCCUCUCAAAGGCAGGACUUCAACACCGCAGGUGGAAAAGCAACAAAAGGAACAAGACAAAGACAUCAUUUUUACAUCCUCAACUGGGUCAUCAUUGAAGAACAUCUUGAACAUCUCCAGUGAUGGCAAGCUUAUUAUCUCAUGAAGCAGUUCAUUUCAUCUCAGGACAGCACUACUUGCGUGAAGAAUCUUCUUUAUACUAAAUUAAACCUCUCUCCAUGUAAUUUCCACCUUUGGAGUUAGGCCAAAUAUUGACGCUGUGUCAUCCAUCUGCUUCCAGAACAAGUACCCAGGCCCCUCUGAUAUCUCCUGAAUGAGAACAAGGGGAUUUAAUAAAUGAAUUUUAA